GGGGUAAUAGUUUAAUUAAAAAUUUUUAAUUUGCAGUUAAUAGAUGUAAGGGCUUACCUUU
rnacentral:tRNA from 1 species